rnacentral:lncRNA from 1 species
CAUCCAUAUCUCUUCCCUACUAGUGGGUUAUUCUUCAUUUAUUUUUCCAUUCUAUCAUUUGUUUGACAGCUUCUUAAACUAGGCUCCAUUUUAGAUAGGUUUUCGGUCUUAAUCAAGAUAGGUCGGAUAAUGAAAUAAAAAAAGACUUUUUCAACAGGAAUGCAUCAACAAAACUGCCCUUCCAUAUAAAUCAUUGUGGCAUGAACUUUGUCAAUAGAUUCCUAGCCUUCCUAUUGAUCCAAAAUGUUUUUCAAGUUUCAUUAUUUUGACGGCGA